GGUCAAGCAAACAAGCGCAUACGGUGGAUGCCUUGGCGAUAAGAGGCGAUGAAGGACGUGGUAGUCUGCGAUAAGC
rnacentral:rRNA from 1 species